ACUCCUACGGGAGGCAGCAGUGGGAAUAUUGCACAAUGGGCGCAAGCCUGAUGCAGCCAUGCCGCGUGUAUGAAGAAGGCCUUCGGGUUGUGAAUGUAACUUUACAGUCAGUGAGGAAGGUGGAGUCGUUAAUAGCGGCCUCAUUUGACGUUAGCUGCAGAAGAAGCACCGGCUAACUCCGUGCCAGCAGCCGCGGUAAUACGGAGGGUGCGAGCGUUAAUCGGAAUUACUGGGCGUAAAGCGCAUGCAGGUGGUUUGUUAAGUCAGAUGUGAAAGCCGGC
rnacentral:rRNA from 1 species